rnacentral:rRNA from 1 species
GAGUUUGAUCAUGGCUCAGGAUGAACGCUGGCGGCGUGCCUAAUACAUGCAAGUCGAGCGAACAGACGAGGAGCUUGCUCCUCUGACGUUAGCGGCGGACGGGUGAGUAACACGUGGAUAACCUACCUAUAAGACUGGGAUAACUUCGGGAAACCGGAGCUAAUACCGAAUAAUAUAUUGAACCGCAUGGUUCAAUAGUGAAAAACGGUUUUGCUGUCACUUAUAGAUGGAUCCGCGCCGCAUUAGCUAGUUGGUAGGGUAACGGCUUACCAAGGCGACGAUGCGUAGCCGACCUGAGAGGGUGAUCGGCCACACUGGAACUGAGACACGGUCCAGACUCCUACGGGAGGCAGCAGUAGGGAAUCUUCCGCAAUGGGCGAAAGCCUGACGGAGCAACGCCGCGUGAGUGAUGAAGGUCUUCGGAUCGUAAAACUCUGUUAUUAGGGAAGAACAAUGUGUAAGUAACUAUGCACGUCUUGACGGUACCUAAUCAGAAAGCCACGGCUAACUACGUGCCAGC